GUAGGGUGCAAGCGUUAUCCGGAAUCAUUGGGCGUAAAGAGCUCGUAGGCGGUUCAGCAAGUCGGCUGUGAAAUCCCGAGGCUUAACCUCGGAACUGCAGUCGAUACUGCUGUGACUAGAGUCCGGUAGAGGAGAAUGGAGUUCCCGGUGUAGCGGUGAAAUGCGCAGAUAUCGGGAGGAACACCAGUAGCGAAGGCGGUUCUCUGGGCCGGUACUGACGCUGAGGAGCGAAAGCGUGGGGUAGCAAACAGGAUUAGAUACCCUGGUAGUCCACGCCGUAAACGUUGGACACUAGGUGUGGCGUUCUGACCAACGGGUGCCGUGCCGAAGCUAACGCAUUAAGUGUCCCCGCCUGGGAGUACGGCCGCAAGGCUA
rnacentral:rRNA from 1 species